UCUGGGUAUAGUGAGAAUGUUGGUUUCUU
rnacentral:piRNA from 1 species